rnacentral:rRNA from 1 species
AAUUUUGGACAAUGGUGGCAACCCUGAUCCAGCCAGCCCGCGUGUGCGAUGAUGGCCUUCGGGUUGUAAAGCACUUUUGGCAGGGAAGAAAAUGCACUGGCUCAUCCCCGCAGCUGCUGACGGUACCUGCAGAAUAAGCAGCGGCUAACUACGUUCAAGCAGCCGCGGUAAGACGUAGGGUGCCAUCGUUAAUCGGAAUUACUGGGCGUAAAGCGUGCGCGGGCGGUUCGGCAAGAAGGAUGUGAAAUCCCAGGGCUUAACCUUGGAACUGCAUUCUUAACUGCCGGGCUAGAGUAUGUCAGAGGGGGGUAGAAUUCCGCGUGUAGCAGUGAAAUGCGUAGAGAUGCGGAGGAAUACCGAUGGCGAAGGCAGCCCCCUGGGAUAAUACUGACGCUCAUGCACGAAAGCGUGGGGAGCAAAC